rnacentral:rRNA from 1 species
AAACUUCACAAUGGAGGCAACUCCGAUGAGGGAAUUCCAAGUGCUAGCACAUUAGUGUUAGCUUUUCUUAAGCAUAGAUAACUUAAGGAAUAAGGGCUGGGUAAGACGGGUGCCAGCCGCCGCGGUAAUACCCGCAGCCCAAGUGGUGGUCGAUUUUAUUGAGUCUAAAACGUUCGUAGCCGGUUCAUUAAAUCCUUGGGUAAAUCGGAUGGCUUAACUACCCGAAUUCCGGGGAGACUGGUGAACUUGGGACCGGGAGAGGCAAGAGGUACUUUUGGGGUAGGGGUAAAAUCCUGUAAUCCUAAAAGGACCACCGGUGGCGAAGGCGUCUUGCUAGAACGGAUCCGACGGUGAGGGACGAAGCCCUGGGUCGCAAACGGGAUUAGAUACCCCGGUAGUCCAGGGUGUAAACGCUGCAGACUUGGUGUUGGGGACCCUUCGGGGGUGUUCAGUGCCGGAGAGAAGUUGUUAAGUCUGCUACUUGGGGAGUACGUCCGCAAGGAUGAAACUUAAAGGAAUU